rnacentral:lncRNA from 1 species
AAUAUAGAUUGUAAAGCUACACUAAAGUUGCUCGAUAAGACCAAUACUCAAAGCCAAAACAAACAGUUUUACCAAUAUAUCUAAAAACAAAUUACAUAAUAAAUUAGUCAGACUUUUUACAUAGGAUCCAAAGUUUUUAUAUGUUAAUUAAAGAAACAUUUGAUUUAUCUUACAACCCCUCCAAAGUUCUUUUUUGCAAGCUCUCGUACAAUUGUAGAACAACAAGCUACAUGGGUUGGAAACUGACUAUCGGAUUUGCAGGAUAACACACGAGAUAUGACCAACAAAUAAGGUGCAACUUAUGAGAAAGACAAUUGGGCCCUUCAACAUUGUUGGUGAAAGAAGAAAGGCACAUAGAAGGAACCUUAGCUUCUUGUUUUUAACAAGCUUGGGAAUACGUGAUGAAGACCUUUGAUGUAUUUAUUAUCUCUUUAAUCAUGUCAUUUGCCUGCAAUAAACAAAUAAAAUGAUGCAAGGGUUGAGUUAGAAUAUACGUGAUAGAAAGAUAUGCAUGUCUACGAAAGUGCUGAACAGCUUCAUUAUGUGGGGCACUUCAUCAAACUAAUCAUGUAAUCCACCGAGCACCUCUAUUUGGUCAAGGUCAUUGACAUCAUUGAAAUCAAUUACAGUAUUUCUAUUAUUACAUAACCUACUUCUAAUCUUGGAGUUUUUAACUAAAUAGCAGUAGUUGUAAAAAGUAUUUACCAAAACAAUGUAGUUUGUAAAUUAUUUACCAAAACAUGGUAAAUAGAAGGAACCUUGGCUUCUUCAUGUUUUUGACAAGCUUAGGAAAACGUGAUGAAGUCCUUUGAUGCAUUAUGAUAAGCCCCAUGGACUAUUAGUUUAUGGUAUAAGGGCUUGGAAACCCAAAGUCUAAUCUUCUGCGGCCUACUUUCAGAAUUGGUGUAUGGAGAGCAGUUUGGUCUUUUAUUUAUUUUGCAGUUUAGAGUUAGUGGUGAGACAGAGUAGUGGUGAUAUCACCUUGUUAGCUGUUAUUCCCUUUUGUCCUUUUCUUUAGUAUUAGUAGUAGUAGUAUAUAUAUAGUAGUUAGUAGUAGGAGGGAGAUAGCUAAGAAUUAAUCUGUAAAGAACUUUGUUCUUCUUGGAGAGACCAUUCCUCUCGAAUGAAUGGAAAUCUAUCUUUAAUUUUCUGGUAUUAUUGAGUGGUUUUGUUCGUGUGAAUCUGUUAGAAUGCCUAGGGUAUAUGAUAGAUUCAACAAGGGUCUAUCAAUUGGUAUCAGAGCUGUUGAUGCUGGGGAGGAAAUAACAGCAAUGAGGAUAAUCAAAACAGAUCUGCUAGAGAUUGUGAAGCUAACGGAGAUGCAUCGUCAGAACCAGAUAAAGAGAGAAGAAGAGACAAAAGCUAAAAUCGCAGAAAUGAAAAAAUAUUACUACUCAGAGGAAGGGAUGGAGGCUGAGAAGGCUAAAUGGAGACAUAUCUACUACUCAACCUUAAAGGAGAAGGAGAAAGUAGUCACUGAAGAGCAAGAAGAAUCAUUGGAAGAUACUGAGUUGGAAUCUGAUGAUGAUGAAGAAUCCUUGGAAGUUACUGAGUUGGAAUCGAAACCUAUGAUGGAACCUCAGCUUCCACCAUCACAGCUGCCGACUCCACCGCUUUCUCCACCAGUGCUACUGACACCACCGCCAUCGUCUGAUAAUGAAGAACUAUCUUUAGAAGCUGUUGAACCGGAAUCGGAGCCCAACACGACAACACAACUUCCAUCGUCUCUGCUGACAACUCAGCCAACACCAUCGCCGUCAUUUCCAUCACCACCUCCGUUGGAACAGGAAUUAUUGAAAGAAGGAACGAUGGGAUUCACUUUGAACCCGAAAGAAUUGCACAAGAAGCGGAACAUGCCGCCGCUGGUGUCUCCGCCGUCAACACCACCAAGACCACAACCGUCGUCUCCACCAUCUCUCGGGUCCAAGUACGGCAGCGGGGCAACGAUUUUGAAUACAAGAGGCGUAAAUCGAUAUGAUAGAAAGAUGGAGGUGCACAUGUUCGAUAGCUACAGACCACCGCCGCCGAUGCCACCACCACCACUGUCAGGAAUUCAAUCAAUGAGGAAAGGAACGAUUGAUUCAAUGCUGGACUAGGUGGGAAUGAACCAGUUGCUGCGAUGGGUGUUUUCACAAGACGGAAUGCGAACGGAAUGCCGCUGCGUUACUGGGAGAUAACGGCUCCGUUGAAAUUAGGUCAUUACUGAUAUGGGCUUAAAAAAAAGUAUAUGGGCUGAAAUUAGAAUGUUGAGAAUGGGGCCUCACAAAUUAGGUCAUACGACGGCCUCAACUAUGAAUGACGAACGUAAAUUAAGCCCAAAAGAAAGUAAAUUGGCGGUAACUAAUUCAGCCCUACAACUGGCGACAAGCUAUUUCUCUACGUUGGCACCUGCGACACUGUUAUCAGCAGCAACUUCAGACUCUCGAAAGAUUUUUGAAUCUAUCACGACUCUCCAUUACCAACGGUGUUUUUAUAGGGAGCUAUUAAAGUUGGUGAGUCGGGGUUGAAAGAUGCAGGUAGCUGUGGUAUUAGUCCUAAAUACCCAACUAAACAGGAAGGGCAGUUGUCUUCCCAGCCAUCAUGGCAUUCUAUCUUAUAUUGUUUGGGACUCAGCCGUCAAUUGGAGGGUUUCAUAAGAGAUGGUGCUUUUUACCCUACUAUGUCGAAUACACCAGGUCUGGUUCCUUUACAACUUUACCCUCUUAAGGAUACGAGAACAAAGCAUGUUGUUUCCAUAGGAGAAAACCAUAGAAUUGUAGAUAUUCCUGUUAACAACUGCCUCAACAACAUAUCCAAGUUUUAUGUCGUUACGCAGAUUAAUUCAGCAACACAUAAUCGCCAUUUGUCAUGUGUGUAUGCAAGCAACAGGGGCAUUGGUAAGGAUGAAGGGUUAGUUGAAGCCGUUGCUACUCAAAAAAUCCUUAAAAACCUAAAUGAGUUCCAGGAUACCAUUAAUGAAGUAGGGUGGAAUUUAGAGCUACAUGAAGAGAAGAAUGUUCUGGAGUACCGACUCCUUGCUGGAAAUCAUGUAUACCUUAUGAAUUAUAGGAGAUUUAUUCAAACUCGAAGGGAAACUAAUGUUGACACAUCUGUUCCGACUCUACCGAUGGAUGAAAAACAUGCAAUUGGAUUUGGGUUAAUGGUGAUUGAUGAAGAAAGAGAUAAAGAAAUGCUUGAUAAUGUUAGCAAGGGAAAAUAUGUUAUCAAAGAUUUGAUGUUAAGGUGGUUGCAAGAUAAGUUUCCUCGGACAAAUGGAAGUGGAAGUGAAGCAACUCUUGGACUUGAAGUUGAACUAGCAAGUCUAGGUAGCAAGGACUUUAAUGCAUUAGUUACUUCUGGUGGGGUUAGCUUGUGCAUCACCUUGAAUCCUUAUGAGAAUGGUUUGGAAGUUAUGAAAAGAGGUGAGUAUGCACAGGUCAUUAGUGAAGUCCCACAUAAAUUCAAGAAUGUUUUUGAGAUGAUGAAGACACCAAGGGAGGGUCCCAGUUUUCAAUACCAGUACUUCCCCUCAGGUGUGAUGACUAAUACAAAUGGGAAGGCUGAUGAAGUUGUUAAGAUGAUCCUAGAAGAAUUGGAUCCAAUGGGUGCAGUAGAGCUAGUGGAGGAAGUGAUUGUAGGGCCUGCCACCAAACAAGGAUUCGAACUUGAAGAGACGGAAGGAGAACAACAACAGCAACAAGAGUCUCUUAAGAAGAAGUCAGGGGAAAUUUUGGUCUAUUCUCUUAAGUUAUGGUAUAAGGGCUUGGAAACCCAAAGUCUAAUCUUCUACAGCCUACUUCCAGAAUUGGUGUAUGGAGGGCAGUUUGGUCUUUUAUUUAUUUUGCAGUUUAGAGUUAGUGGUGAGACAGAGUAGUGGUGAUAUCACCUUGUUAGCUGUUAUUCCCUUUUGUCCUUUUCUUUAGUAUUAGUAGUAGUAGUAUAUAUAUAGUAGUUAGUAGUAGGAGGGAGAUAGCUAAGAAUUAAUCUGUAAAGAACUUUGUUCUUCUUGGAGAGACCAUUCCUCUCGAAUGAAUGGAAAUCUAUCUUUAAUUUUCUGGUAUUAUUGAGUGGUUUUGUUCGUGUGAAUCUGUUAGAAUGCCUGGGGUGUAUGAUGGAUUCAACAAGGGUCUAUCAUAUUAUCUCUUUAAUCUUGUCAUUUGCCUGCAACAAAGAAAUAAAAUGAUGCAAGGGAUGAGUUAGAAUUUUAAUAAUACGCAUGUCUAUGAAAGAGCAUUAGCCUCUUUAUGUGAUAAUAAACUGACACCAUAGAUCACAUCAAUCAUGUAAUCCACCUAGCACCUUUAGGUGGUCAAGGUCAUAGACAUCAUUGAGAACAAUUAGAGUAUUUCUAU